UGGGCGCAGCCUGAUGCAGCCAUGCCGCGUGUAUGAAGAAGGCCUUCGGGUUGUAAAGUACUUUCAGUAGGGAGGAAGGUUCAUGCGUUAAUAGCGUAUGGAUUUGACGUUACCUACAGAAGAAGCACCGGCUAACUCCGUGCCAGCAGCCGCGGUAAUACGGAGGGUGCGAGCGUUAAUCGGAAUUACUGGGCGUAAAGCGCAUGCAGGUGGUUAGUUAAGUCAGAUGUGAAAGCCCGGGGCUCAACCUCGGAAUUGCAUUUGAAACUGGCUGACUAGAGUACUGUAGAGGGGGGUAGAAUUUCAGGUGUAGCGGUGAAAUGCGUAGAGAUCUGAAGGAAUACCGGUGGCGAAGGCGGCCCCCUGGACAGAUACUGACACUCAGAUGCGAAAGCGUGGGGAGCAAACAGGAUUAGAUACCCUGGUAGUCCACGCCGUAAACGAUGUCUACUUGGAGGUUGUGGCCUUGAGCCGUGGCUUUCGGAGCUAACGCGUUAAGAAGACCGCGCUGGGGAGUACGGUCGCAAGAUUAAAACUCAAUGAAUUGACGGGGGCCCGCACAAGCGGUGGAGCAUGUGGUUUUAAUUCGAUGCAACGCGAAGAACCUUACCUACUCUUGACAUCCAUAGAACUUAGCAGAGAUGCUUUGGUGCCUUCGGGAACUAUGAGACAGGUGCUGCAUGGCUGUCGUCAGCUCGUGUUGUGAAAUGUUGGGUUAAGUCCCGCAACGAGCGCAACCCUUAUCCUGUUUGCCAGCGAGUAUGUCGGGAACCCCAGGAGACUGCGUGAUAAACGAGAGGUGGGGACGACGUCAGUCAUCAUGCCUA
rnacentral:rRNA from 1 species